AGGGAAAAGCUCAAAUUUAAAAUCUGACAGUCUCUGGCUGUCCGAGUUGUAAAUUAGAGAAGUGCUAUCCGCGCUGGACUGUGCAUAAGUUCCUUGGAAAAGGGCAUCAUAGAGGGUGACAAUCCCGU
rnacentral:rRNA from 1 species